rnacentral:rRNA from 1 species
CAGUAACAUAUGCUUGUCUCAAAAACUAAGCCAUGCAUGUCUAAGUAUAAACGACUUUAUACUGUGAAACUGCGUACAGCUCAUUACAUGCAAUUAUUUAUUUGAUGGUUCCUUACUACAUGGAUAACCGUGGUAAUUCUAGAGCCGACUCUCGAGGGAUGUAUUUAUUAGAUUCAAAACCAAGCCGAGUAUUGUGGUGAUUCAUAAUAACUGAUCGAUCGCAUGGCUUCACGCUGGCGAUAGUUCAUUCAAAUUUCUGUGUCGGUAGGAUAAAGGCCUACGGAGGGCUAUCACGGGUAACGGAGAAUUAGGGUUCGAUUCCGGAGAGGCAAUCCUGACACAGGGAGGUAGUGACAAGAAAUAACAAUACCGGGCCUUUUCAGGUCUGGUAAUUGGAAUGAGUACAAUUUAAAUCCCUUAACGGGAGCCAGCAGCCGCGGUAAUUCCAGCUCCAGUAGCGUAAAGUUGUUGCAGUUAAAAAGCUCGUAGUUGGAUUUCUGGCGAAAGUUGCGGCCCGUGGUCGUUAAGGCCUUGUGCUACCAUUCAUUUGGCCGGGCGUACGCAAUCUGGAUCGAUUACUUUGAAAAAAUUAGAGUGUUUAAAGCAGGGGUUUCUAGACUGAAGUAAUGAUUGAUAGGGACAGUUGGGGGUGCUAGUAUUCCGCGGCCAGAGGUGAAAUUCUUGGAUUCGCGGAAGACUAACUACUGCGAAAGCAUUCACCAAGGAUGUCUUCUUUAAUCAAGAACGAAAGUUGGGGGAUCGAAGACGAUCAGAUACCGUCGUAGUCUCAACCAUAAACUAUACCGACUAAGGAUCAGUAAACGUUGAUUUACGACUUCAUUGGCACUUCGUGAGAAAUCAAAGUCUUUGGGUUCCGGGGGGAGUAUGGUCGCAAGGCUGAAACUUAAAGGAAUUGACGGAAGGCACCACCAGGAGUGGAGCCUGCGGCUUAAUUUGACUCAACACGGGAAAACUUACCAGAUAGUAAGGAUUGACAGAUUGAAGAUCUUUCUUGAUUUUUGGUGGUGCAUGGCCGUUCUUAGUUGGUUGAGUGGGUAAUCUUUAAAUGCGUAUCGUGAUGGGGAUAGAUUAUUGUAAUUUUUGAUCUUCAACGAGGAAUUCCUAGUAAACGCGCGUCACUAACGCGCAUUGAUUACGUCCCUGCCCUUUGUACGCAACGCCCGUCUCUACUAUUGAUUGGAUGGUUUAGUGAGGUCCACGGAUUGUUGCACGAGAAGUGGACAAACUUGAUCAUCUAGAGGAAGUAA